rnacentral:lncRNA from 1 species
GCUCUCCUCUCCUGCUAAGCUUUGUUUCCUGAUAGUAAUUAAAACCUUCUGCCACUGCCAUAGCUACUGCUGCUCCUGGAACCGCCAUAACCACCUUGGUUUCAUGGUUUGGCAAAGUAUUGGCCUUCACCACCAUAGGGGUGAAGCUUCUGCCCCCCAAAUUUCCUCCUUUCAUGGGUCCCAAAUUUGAAGAUUGAUUUUUGUAACUGCCAAAAUCAUUAUAGUUUCCACCACCUCCGAAGUUGCUUCCAUCAUUACCAAAUCUGUUAUAGCCAUCCCUGAUGCCACCAUAUCCACCACUACCUCGACUGCCACCAAAGCUGUCUUGCCCACUGAAGUUUCCUCCACGACCAAAGUUGUCAUUCCCACCAAAACCACUUCCAUGACCACCACCAAAGUUUCCAGAACUGCUCCUACCUCUUUGGCUGGAUGAAGCACUAGCCAUCUUUUGCUUAGAGCUCUCCUUACUUCACAGUUGUGGCCAUUCACAGUAUGGUAUUUCUGAAUGACAAUCUUGUCUAGAGUCACGGUCAUCAAAGGUUACAAAAACAAAGCCUCUUUUUGUCACUGCCUUGGUCAUUCAUGAUAUCAAUCACUUCCAUUUUCCCAUACUGUUCAAAAUAAUCUCUUAGAUGAUGUUCUUCAGUGUCUUUAAUGCCACCAACAAAAACCUUUUUCACAGUUAAGUGGGGACCAGGUCUUUGAGAAUCUUCUCUCAAGAUAGCCCUCUUUGGUUCCAAAACUCUUCCAUCCAUCCUGUGUGGCCUUGCAUUCAUGGCUGCAUCCACCUCUUCCACAGUGGCAUAUGUGAGAAACUCGAAGCUUCUGGAGUGCUUGGUGUUUGGAUCUCAUUACCACACAGUCCGUGAGUGUUCCCCAUUGCUCAGAAUGGCUAAACAGACUCACAUUGUCUGUUUUCAAAGCUCAAAACUCUGAUGAAAAGCUUCCGCACCUGUUCAGAAUCUUUGGGAGACUCUGACUUAGACAUGAUGGCAGUGGGAGGUGAGAUUUAACGAUGCUUCCUUGAGGUGUCCAUGGGCAGAAA